CCGGUGUUCUAUGCCGUAAACGACUCCUAUCUUUCAAGGGCUGGUGGUUAGGUGUCAACGAGCCCUCCUCCCUAAGAGCAGUUUUUUUGAUAUUCCUCUCGUCCCCCAAGGGUGGGUUCGAGGGGGAGUUGCGCCCCUUAAGCGCAGCGGCGCCCCCCCGGAAUUGCGGUCGAAACCCGAUUUAAACGGGGGGGAAACACCAGUGUCUGUCUGGAAAAACAAAAGCGGGACUCAAAGAAGAUAAAGAGUCGGGUUGAGAAGAAAGAGCCCGCGCCCCCCUCCUCUUAAAAAAACCAAUUUUUUUUAAAAAAAAUUUAUAUCUCUCCCCCCCCCCCCCCCUACCACGCCCGUCGCUACUACCGAUUGAAUGGCUCAGUGAGGCCUUGGAUUGGGCUUAGGAGGGUGGGCAACGACCCCCCAGAGCCGAAAACUUGGUCAAACUCGGUCAUUUAGAGGAAGUAAAAGUCGUAACAAGGUUUCCGUAGGUGAACCUGCGGAAGGAUCAUUACCGAGUGAGGGCCCUCUGGGUCCAACCUCCCACCCGUGUUUAUUUUACCUGGUGGCUUCGGCGGGCCCGCCUUAACUGGCCGCCGGGGGGCUUACGCCCCCGGGCCCGCGCCCGCCGAAGACACCCUCGAACUCUGUCUGAAGAUUGUAGUCUGAGUGAAAAUAUAAAUUAUUUAAAACUUUCAACAACGGAUCUCUUGGUUCCGGCAUCGAUGAAGAACGCAGCGAAAUGCGAUACGUAAUGUGAAUUGCAAAUUCAGUGAAUCAUCGAGUCUUUGAACGCACAUUGCGCCCCCUGGUAUUCCGGGGGGCAUGCCUGUCCGAGCGUCAUUGCUGCCCUCAAGCACGGCUUGUGUGUUGGGCCCCGUCCUCCGAUCCCGGGGGACGGGCCCGAAAGGCAGCGGCGGCACCGCGUCCGGUCCUCGAGCGUAUGGGGCUUUGUCACCCGCUCUGUAGGCCCGGCCGGCGCUUGCCGAUCAACCCAAAUUUAUCCAGGGUGACCUCGGAUCAGGUAGGAACGUGCGAUC
rnacentral:rRNA from 1 species